rnacentral:sRNA from 1 species
AGAUCCCGUGUGAGAGAGUGGGGGGGUCGCUUCAAACAAAUCCUUCAGCUCUUGCUGCUGCUGCUGCUGCUGGAAACCUCCCUCCAAAGGCACAAACAGCAAUCAAAAGACAAAUGCCAGCCCUCCAAGAUAGAUGAAACAACGGAAGCCAGAAGGAGAAAACCAGGACGCACCUUGUCCUGGAAAGGGAGCACCCCAGCUCGUCUGCUCCCCGAGGGGACCAGGGCACGUCUGUCCACGUGCAACCAGUGAGCGCCGUCAAAGCGGGAGCCACUCACAAACUCGACUCCGACCAUGAGGUCCUGGCUGGUGUCGUGAAGGUGGCCCAGCCAGCGGACAGUGCCAUACUCGGGGCCGUGGUCGCUCACCCAGACCACGCGGUCAUUGACCCUGAGGGGCACCUCCAGGGCCAGCUCGCACAAGCCCAGGCGCUCAUGCUGCGGCGGAUCCGAGCGAGUCACGCCUGGCAGAACCUUCUUCUUGGAAGGCAACCGGGGAGCCACAGAGUUGGGCCCUGCACCCAAGAACAGUAGACGCGCACAUCAAGACUAUCCAUGAUCAGCGAAUACAGUCUAAUCAUGUGGAGAAAACAUGGUUCACUUUCGUAUGCCAAUAUAAUUCUAAAAAAAAAACUGUGUUUUAGUAUACUUUAGAGCUGAACAAGCUAAGCUCACAAGCUGCAUGCCGCCCCAGGUGGUGUUCCACACAGCCCCCACUCAGCCCCUUUAGUCUUUAACUACCUGUCAUCUAUAACUAUUAUAUACCGUUUAAAUUGUGAAUCAAAUGAUACCAUUCUCUCUAAAUGGCAACAAAGUGGAUCAAAUUAUACGAAAGAAUUACACAUAACGGACAGAGUAUGGACAGCACAUAAAUAAAGAAUUCGCAAAUCUUC